CUUCAUCGAUUUGUUGUGGACAGAUAUAAUGAAUGUGCGAGUCAAUUCCUCCUGCGGUGAUAAUUGCCCCUUCUCCUGCUACUACAUCGGUGCUCGCUCCUACAAUCAUAUCAGGGUGAACACCAGGCAUAAUAUGCGGAUUUCCUGCUUUACCGAUGGCAUGUAUUUUACCAUCUUUUAUACCAAUAUCUGCUUUGAUAAUACCUGUAUAAUCGACAAUCAGUGCAUUGGUAAUCACCAUAUCCAAUACAUCUUUUCGGCGUAAGCCUGAAGCUUGUCCCAUGCCGUCUCUUAA
rnacentral:sRNA from 1 species